rnacentral:misc_RNA from 1 species
UUUCCGUAGGUGAACCUGCGGAAGGAUCAUUAUCGAGUUUUGACUGGGUUGUAGCUGGCCUUUCGAGGCAUGUGCACGCCCUGCUCAUCCACUCUACACCUGUGCACUUACUAUGGGUAUCAGAUCGUGAAGCGUGCUCUUUUACCGGAGCUUGUGAAGCGUGUCUGUGCCUGCGUUUAUCACAAACACUAUAAGUAUCAGAAUGUGUAUUACGAUGUAACGCAUCUAUAUACAACUUUCAGCAACGGAUCUCUUGGCUCUC